CCCUUAGAUGUCCUGGGCUGCACGCGCGCUACACUGAUGUGUCCAGUAAGCACCUAACCUCUUCCGAAAGGAACGGGUAACCUUUGCAAAGCACAUCGUGAUGGGGAUAGAUUAUUGCAAUUAUUAGUCUUGAACGAGGAAUUCCUAGUAAGCACAAGUCAUCAGCUUGUGUUGAUUACGUCCCUGCCCUUUGUACACACCGCCCGUCGCUCCUACCGAUUGAAUGUUCCGGUGAUCUCUUCGGACUGCGCGGUCUGCAGUUUCUGCGUUCCGUGCGGAAAGUUGCGCAAACCUUAACAUUUAGAGGAAGGAGAAGUCGUAACA
rnacentral:rRNA from 1 species